AGGCCAGUGGCGCAACCGGUAGCGCAGCGGUCUCCAAAACCGCCGGUUGGGGGUUCGAGUCCCUCCUGGCCUGCCA
rnacentral:tRNA from 1 species